rnacentral:rRNA from 1 species
UACGGGGGGUGCAAGCGUUAUCCGGAAUCACUGGGUUUAAAGGGUGCGUAGGCGGCUUGAUAAGUCAGGGGUGAAAGCCCGCAGCUUAACUGCGGAACUGCCUUUGAUACUGUCGAGCUUGAAAGAGGUUGAGGUCAGCGGAACGUGACAUGUAGCGGUGAAAUGCAUAGAGAUGUCACAGAACACCGAUUGCGAAGGCAGCUGGCUGGACCUACUUUGACGCUGAGGCACGAAAGAGUGGGGAGCGAACAGG